AUUGAACGCUGGCGGCAGGCCUAACACAUGCAAGUCGAGCGGUAGCACAGAGAGCUUGCUCUCGGGUGACGAGCGGCGGACGGGUGAGUAAUGUCUGGGAAACUGCCUGAUGGAGGGGGAUAACUACUGGAAACGGUAGCUAAUACCGCAUAAUGUCGCAAGACCAAAGUGGGGGACCUUCGGGCCUCGUGCCAUCAGAUGUGCCAGAUGGGAUUAGAUAGGAGGUGGGGUAACGGCUCACCGAGGCGACGAUCCCUAGCUGGGCUGAGAGGAUGCACAGCCGCACUGGAGCUGAGACACGGACCAGACUCCUACGGGAGGCAGCGGUGGGGAAUGUUGCACAAUGGGCGCAAGCCUGGUGCAGCCAUGCCGGGUGUGUGAAGAAGGCCUUCGGGUUGUAAAGCACUUUCAGCGGGGAGGAAGGCGUUAAGGUUAAUAGCCUUGGCGAUUGACGUUACCCGCAGAAGAAGCACCGGCUAACUCCGUGCCAGCCGCCGCCGUAA
rnacentral:rRNA from 1 species